CCAGGCUGUUCAGAUCCGUGGAGACAGAGGAUGUAGAAGAAAUGCGUGACUUGCUCUCAGCUGCGUUGGGCACUUGCAGGGUGAUUUCCUCUGGGCACUGGCUGGCAUCUGCCCCUGGAAGAGAGUGUGUGCAGGGAGCUCUGCAGUCUGGAGGGGACCAGGGAAAUCAUGACAAGACAUUGGCUGCUCCAGAGGAGCUUCAGGACAAGAGAACUUGCCCCACAAACUCUGGGGAGUGCCUGGGCUCUCCUGUCUUCUCCACCAUAAGGUAUUUACAGGAGGUCUGUAUCUCUGGGCUGUGGAGGCAGAUAUUGACAUGGACCAGCCCAGCCUGAGGUCCCUCCAGCCUCACAGAUGCCAGCACCAAGUAUCUUUGCAUGAGUGUGUGUGUAUCUGCACGCAGGGUGGCCAGAGCUGAGGAACAAGCUGAUGUGGGCACUGGAAAGGCUCCCAGCCUGGUCCACAGAACGUUUGGGACUGCACAUACCUGGCAGGGGCCCAGCAGCACUGCUCUCCUCUGUCCCACAGCCCAGAAACACAUCCAUGGUGUCCUGGUCUGACAGGUCCAUCAUGUCCAUCUGCUCCAGCAUGUCCACGUUCACCUCCAUGGAGGAAAUGCUGCCUAAGGGUGCUGCAGAGACAGAGGCCAGCAAAAAGUCCUUGUCCCUGUCUCAAACUGCUGUCUGGAGGCGCCUGUCUGAAGCCAGUGACUAUGCAGGGCGCUAGCCUGGGUACCCAUGUGCAGUUACUUCAGUUAAGUGGUGUGAGUAAUGCACAGCACACCCACAGGCAGCCUGUGUGGUCCUGUCUCAGUGCAGGACAUGCGUGUCGCCAGCUGUCUUUAGACUGGGUAUGUCCCACCGAUCUCAACUGCCUGUGUCACUGUUCCCUGAAACACCCCAGCCCCAUGCUGGUGCCUGCAGCACUUACGUCUCC